rnacentral:lncRNA from 1 species
GUUUCUCAAACCGUGCCUUCCCAUUUAUGCUGCAUCCGCGCCCUGAAUCUGAAAUUGGUCGUCCUGCCACGCCGCCUCACCGCGGUAUAAGGUCGUCCCAUCCUGAAUGGCCGGUGCGCAGACUCAAUUGCGACUUUGAGGCUGUCAGCCGCCACCCGGCAACCUUCCAGUGAACAGGAUUCUGGGUUUCUCAAAGCUGUAAUUGGAGGGGCUGGAAACCUAACAAUUUCACUUCCUAGACAACUUGCUAAAAGUCACCUAAAGACAGUCUGGUUACUGCCAAAGAUAUGCUUUCAAAUAAGAUUUGGAUAAAGAAGGGAGGUAGAUGCCUUUUUUCAGCAGUGGAGUGAUGUCUAGACCAGUAGAUGUACGCAUCUAAGUGAAUUCAUCACCAGCAACAAUUUCCAGAAACUUCCUGACCUCCAGAUUGCAGCUUCAUUAGUGUGAGUUUAAAGCCAACUAGAUGCCAUUCUCAGAUUCCACGCAUAUGGCCAAGGGUCCAGGAAAUAAGAAGAAACAGGUUGAGGGGUUGGUGUUAUGGGGCAUUUACUUGAAUUUUCUAUGCUAUAAUUGUCUCAUCUUUAAAACGGUGAUAAUAAUAAAAUUGUCAGUUAUUAAAUAAAUUAACACAGUGAAAAAAAA